CAGGCGAGCGAUGUAGGGAUCUUAGAAGGCAGCCCUUCCUUCGAUCGCGCAGAUACGCAACCUUCCUACGAUCGCGACUUUCCCCAUCGAUGUGUACCCCGUUUUCCCCUUCAAAAUUCAGAUCGCUCUUCCUGUUUCUCUUGCCAGCGGCUGUCACCGAAUCGAUUUGUUGCUCUCAGGACGAGGUGAUUCCCUAUUCUGGGCCCCUGAUCAUCGGAAUCCAAUACACAUAGUCGAGCACCUCCGCCAAGCCUGAUGCCAAUUCAUAUUGUAUCAUCAUCGAGUGCUGGUCGUCCGAUUACCGACGCCCAUUCAACCGAUCCCAGGUAAAAAAUAUGCUCAAAACUCGUAGGCGACUAAUAAAACCAGACAAUGGAAGUACCGUGUUGAGCACGCAGUGCCAGAAUUAUGAGGACUCGUCCUGAUCGCACACUUGUGGAUUUCACAAGAGGAUCACCUACACGCCAGGGUACAAAUCAUGUUACGGCAGCAGGUAUACAAGCCAUGCUGAUUUUGUCGCAUGGGAACGAGAAAAGAGCGGGAUUUUUACAAUGAGAAGUGCCUACACCCUCGCAACAUGUGAUCAUGUCGCUGGUGUUAGCGGCGGGGCUUGCAGUGCAUCCCGGGUGGGCGACGUAGCUUGUGGAAUUGCGUCUGGAAGUCCUCGGUCCCUCAAAAAAUGAAGAUUACAAUGUGAAAAGCUGCUACUGGAGCCCUUCCAACACAGAGUUGCAAGAUGCUCAGGCAUCUGGCGACCAGAUCAACAUGCCCAGUAUGUGGCCGAGAGGAGGAAGGUUUAUACCAUGCCCUGGUGGCGUGCUCUCAUGCUAGAAUGGUGUGGACCAGUAUGAGGGAGAGAUGGCCUCUCCCAGAUGACAAGUUGCUGGUGGAUAAUGGCAAGGAGUGGAUCCUACAUCUAUUAUCGAGUUGUUCUGAUGCUGUUCGUGACAUGAUUAUUAUGUUAUGCUGGCGUAUCUGGCAGCGAAGGAACGACCUCACUCAUGGCAUGGAAACCCCUCCAGUUCAUGUGACGGUCGAAUUUUUGGAUAGCUACUACAGAUCGGUGUGCCUGGCAGGCCGGUAUACUACAGAGGAAAUUCUCAAGGGGAAGAUGUCAUCUUCGGCUCUCCCAAGCAAGGCAGUGAAGACGGCGCUAGUAGCAGCGCCAUGGCCCAAACCACCACAAGGCCGGGUAGCACUCUCGGUUGAUGGUUCUUUUAGUGGUACCGACGGAUCAGCGGCAGCAGGUAUGGUAUUACAUGAUCAACAAUGGUCAUAUUAUCUUCUCGGCGUACCGCGUGAUCUUCUAUUGCAAUGACCCUUUGGAAGCUGAACUACAUGCGAUCAUGCAAGGGACGGCAUUGGCUAUCCAACAUUCCUCGCUCCCGGUUAUUGUACAGUCAGACACAUCGGAGGCGCUCUCGUCUUUACGGAAUCAGGGUCUUGAGCGCUCUGCUUAUGGUCAUAUAGUUAGAGAGAUCAAAGAGUUGUUAGUCAGUAGGGAGUUUUAUCCUCAGAGAAUUCAACGUGGCCAAAACAGUGUUGCAGAUCGUUUGGCCAAUUAUAGCCGCACCGAGAGCACAACUGCGGUGUGGUUGACCUCG